rnacentral:rRNA from 1 species
GAUGAACGCUAGCGGGAGGCCUAACACAUGCAAGCCGAGCGGUAUGGGUAGCUUGCUACCCAGAGAGCGGCGUACGGGUGCGUAACACGUGUGCAACCUGCCCCUAUCCGGGGGAUAGCCCUCCGAAAGGAGGAUUAAUACCCCAUAAUAUAUCUGGUGGCAUCACUUGAUAUUGAAAACCCCGGUGGCUAGGGAUGGGCACGCGCAAGAUUAGAGAGUUGGCGGGGUAACGGCCCACCAAGUCGAUGAUCUUGAGGGGUCCUGAGAGGGAGAUCCCCCACACUGGUACUGGGACACGGACCAGACUCCUACGGGAGGCAGCAGUGAGGAGUAUUGGACAAUGGGUGGAAGCCUGAUCCAGCCAUCCCGCGUGAGGGACGACGGCCCUAUGGGUUGUAAACCUCUUUUGUACGGGGAUAAACCUAUCUACGUGUAGAUAGCUGAAGGUACCGUACGAAUAAGCACCGGCUAACUCCGU